UUGGCCCGCUCCUGGGCGGCCUCCAGCUCCGACAGCUCGGCGUUGGCAUCCUUAACGGCCAGCUCCCCACGCUGCUGGGCAUCUGCUAUGGCGGCCUCCAGGGAAGUCCUCUGGCCCUUGAGACCCUCAGCCUCAGCCUGGAGUCGGCUGAUGUUCCGGUUCAUCUCGGAGAUCUCAGUCUUUGUGCGCCGCAGGUCAUUCCCGUGCUUCCCAACCAGCGUCUGCAGUUCCUCAUACUUGAUCUGGUACAUGCUCUCAGCCUCAGCCUGGCUGUGGUUGGUGAUCUCCUCGUACUGCACCUUGACCUCAGCGAUGAUGCUGUCCAUGUCCAGGGAGGGCUGUUGUCCAUGGACAGCACCGCAGAUGUGUCUGAGAUCUGGCACUGCAGCUCCCGGAUCUCCUCUUCAUACAGCUGCCUGAGGAAGUUGAUCUCAUCAGUCAGUCCUUCCAGGCGAGACCCCAGCUCUACCUUGUUCAUGUAAGCUUCGUCCACCUCCUUCUUGAUGAGGACAAAUUCAUUCUCCAUCUCUGUAAGCUUAUGGAUCUCAUCCUCAUACUUGUUCUUGAAGUCCUCCACCAGCCCCUGCAUGUUGCCAAGCUCCACCUCCAGCUUCAGCUUCUCCUGGCCCAGAGUCUCCAGCUGCUGCGUAAGGUUGUUGAUGUAGCUCCCGAACAUGUUGUCCAUGUUGCUCUGAGCCAUCUUCUGCUGCUGCAGGAGGCUCCACUUGGUCUCCAGCAUCUUGUUCUGCUGCUCUAGGAACCGUAUCUUGUCUGUGAAGGAGGCAAACUUGUUGUUGAGGGUCUUGAUCUGCUCCUUCUCCUGGGUGCGCACAGCCUGGAUAUUGGGGUCCACCUCCAGGUUAAGGGGGCUCAGCAGGCUCUGGUUGACCGUGACAGUGGUGAUGCCUCCUAUGCCGCUGGCCCCACCAUAGCCUCUGCCCAGGCCACCCCGGAAGCUGCUGCUGCCCACUCAGGAGAAGCUCGAGGAGCUGAUGCGGGCACUGGGCCCACUGGUGUAGAAGUGGCUGCUGAAGGCCCGGGGUUCAGAGGUGGACACCUUGUAGGACUUCUGAGUCACCCUGAUGGACAUGGUGGAGGCAGGAGUGGAGGCAGGGCAUGCUUUCUCGCCUGCCGGCCUUCCACCAUGGGAUGAAGCAGCAAGAAGGCUCUUGCCAGAGGCAGACCCCUCGACCUUGGACUUCCCAGCCCCCAGAACUGUAAGAAAUAAAUCUCUCUUCUUUAUAUAU
rnacentral:lncRNA from 1 species